UUUUCUGUCAUUCUUCGUUUGGUCGUUGAAGGGUUCGGACGUGUUUUUCGAAGCUCUCGACGUCGUGACCUAAUUAUAAUUUGAACUGCGCGGGUAAAAAACGCUCAGUUGCGGCUUGGACAUUGACCAAUACGGACGUGUUUUUAAAGCGCUCUGAAAAAAGUUUUGACUUUUAAAUUUUUUUUACUACGACAGAAUCUUAGUUGACUGAUGGUCUUUGACAAAGACAGACUUGUUUUUGUGAGCUCUGAAAAAAAUUUGACUUUGAAAUAUUUUUACGAUUAAAAAGUUUCAGUUGACUUUUGAACGUUGACGAAGACGGACGUACUUUCGUGAGCUCUGACUAUUGAUGAAAAGUUUUGAGUUUUACUGACUUGUACUUUGAGAGUAAAAUUGACUUCGCGUUAUAGAAUAGCGACUUGGUACUCAGGUUGUUGAAUGACUGGAUGACUGUAGUGUUAGGUUAUUGUUAUGAGAUAACAACUUGACUUUGACUUGAGUUGUGAAAUGAAAUCAUACUCUUAUGCGAUGUUAACUUUUGAACGUUUAGUAUUGACUGACAACGAACUUUUGUGAGCGUUAUAUAUGAAAUGUUUGACUUACAUUAAUUUUUUUGAACGACUUGACUUCACUUUAAGUUUUGACAUCGGACUGAUCGGACGUGUUUUUUUAAGCCCUGACUGUUGUGAAUAAUUAAAUUUAUGUUGUGGUGUCAAGCGAUUGACUGUCAGUUGAGGUUCAGAUGUCGAGCUGUGCGGACGUGUUCAUCGAGCUGCUGUCUACAAAAAACGUGAGUACAAAUUUUUUUCGUUUUACUGUUUACAAGUUGCGUGAUGAUGUAUGAUGGUUGUAAUGUGUUGGGUAGAAAUUACUCAGUGCUGAUACAGUGUCGAUAUGUUGUGAUGAGCGAUAAUAGUGGAUGAUGGUGGAACAGAAUAUUCAUUGAGCUAUUUUGAGGAAGCGAACAUAUGAUGGAAAAAUGUUGCAAAAAUAUUAAAUGACAAUGUAUUGAAUCGCUUUUGUUGAUAUGUAUGAUAUUGAUUAAAUUGUAUUUGCAUGCUGUAACAUUUCUAUUCCAUUUCAGGGGGCUGUGGUGAGUAUUGUAGUAUAAAUUUGUUUCAAUAAAUCAUGAUGAAUGAAAACUGAUUUUGAUUCGUUUUGUACAGGUUUACUUGUAUAGAAGUGUAAUGCGUUGGGUAGAAAUUAGAAUCUACUCAGUACUGAUAUAGUGUCGAUAUGUUGUGAUUAGCGAUGAUGGUGUAUGAUGGUGGAACAGAACAUGAGCUACUUUGGGGAAACGAACAUAUGAUUGAACAAUGAUUGCAAACAUAUUAGAUGAAUGAUAUGAUAUUGCUUAAAUUGUAUUUGCAUGCUGUAACAUUUCUAUUUCAUUUCAGGGUGCUGUGGUGAGUACUGUAGAUUGUAGUGCAUAUGUAUAGAAUUCAAUAAAAGAUUAUGACUGAAAACUGCUUUUGAUUCUUAUUGUACAGUUUUAGGGAUUAUAAGUCUAUAGCAACUCUGUCGGUUGGUGUUCAUGAGUGUGAGCUUAAUACAGCAAUGUUUGAGUAGUACAAAAAUGUUUUCGCUUUUGUGGUCGCCAGCUGUCCGUGAUCUGUAAAGUGAAAAUACACAGAGCUAUGAAGCAUACAGAUGUUUCGAAAUUUUAUCAAUGAUUGUAUACUAUGCAUGUUUUGAUUUAGUUCGUUUCAGAUUUGACAUGAGAUGAAAACCUGACAUGAUUUGAACAGAGCUGGGAAAUGAAAAGAUUUUCAGAUGUGUGCUGGCAGUUCAAGUCUGGCAGCUGGAGUGAACAGUCGUGUUUUCUGGAGCUCCAACAAUAUGCUAGAAGGUAAGUAACUAUGUUUGUUUUGCAUUGCAUGUUUUUAUAUGUUUCAGACUUUCAAGCAGAGAUGUCAUGCUGACUGGAGUUGAGCACAGGGCAGUGACAAAGUGAAAGGUAAGUACUUUUGACUGAAUGUUUGUUCUAUGCAUGUUUUGUUUUAAUACAUUUCAGGAGUGCUUAUCCAGUGAUGAUAUGACAGUUGGAGUGAACAGUGGAGCCAAGCAGUCUUGUUUUUGGAGCUACUCAACAAGCCUUGAAGGUAAGUUUAGAAUUUCUCAAUGUUAGUGAAUUGAAGUACUGUCACUUGCUUUUGGACAGUCGAACAGAACAGACGUGGUUGCGAGAGCUCUCAUAUCUGUUGUGUUAAACUGUUUUUAUGAUAUGUUAUGUUUGUUUGUUUGUUUGUGAUGUACUAUUUUUCAGAUGCUGAUGGCAGUGAUGGGUUUUCAAGCUGACCUGAACAGAAAAGCAGUCAUAUGGUAAGUACAAAAUAGUUGUUAUAUGGGAUGUUUUGUGCAUGCUUUUAUGUUUCAGGUGUACUUGCUGACAGCGACGAAGACGAAUCAAGAAGAGGAACAUUGUUGAGACAGUGAUUGGGACUUGCAAACAGGGUAAGUGUAACACUUGUGUUUGUUUAAUUUGUAACAUGCGUGCUUUGCUCUGUUUCAGAUUUCACAUGCAGAAAUUAAACAGGAUCUCAACUGCUGAAACACAAUUCAUCAAAAGUAAGGUAAGUUUUAAUUCAUUGAUUUGAAUUGUACAAUGUGUUCUUUACUUUAUUUCAGAUUCGAGUCACUGGUUUACACAUGGAAGAAGAUUUCCACGUCUGUUACUCAACUCUACAGAAGCAAGGUAAGUCGAUCAAUUUUUUGUUUUAAUUUGUACUGCUGUAAUGUGAUGGUAAACUUAUGCUAUUUUUUAUGUGUGUCAUGUACAGAUGGAUAAUUCAAGUUUGAUCUGUGUUGGUUUAUGUUCAAAAACGUUUUACAUGUAUGUGUGUUUCCAGAUGUUUUGUUUCAGUUGAUGUCCAGAUGGCAAGCAGAACAGACGUGUUUCUUGGAUCUGCCAAACAGUGAGUACAAACGUUUUAUAUUUUUCAGUUGUGUACUCAUAGAAGUCUGUGAAAGAUGAUAGCAAGGGUAGAAUCUAUCAGUACUUGUGUCUAAAAAUGCUGAUGUGUGACGGUUUACUGAAAAGGGUAAAUGCUAGCCAGUACUUACACUUGAGCAACCGUGGGAUGUCGAACUAACUGAUGAUGUACUAUGAUGGUGAACACUUACUAUGUGUAUCAAAAUGCUUUUGUUGAUAUUUACUAUAGAUGAUUUGAUAUUGGUUAACAUUUGUUUGCAUGCUGUUAACAUUUCUAUUUCAUUUCAGGGAGCUGUGGUAAGUAUUGUAGUAUUAAUUUGUCUCAAUAAACGAUGAUGAAUGAAAACUGAUGUCGAUUCUUUUUGUACAGUUUUAGGUAUUAGCACUCUAUACAAAACUCUGUCGGUCGGUGUUUGUGAAUGUGAGCUUAAUGUUUGAGUAGAACAAAAAUGUCUUUACUUUUGUGAUCGCCAGUUGUCUGUGAUGUAAAGUGGAAAAAACACAGCUAUGAAGCAUACAAUUGUUUCAAUAUUUUAUCAAUGAUAGUGUGCUAUGCAUGUUUUGAUUUAGUUCGUUUCAGAUACGACAUGACAUGAAGAGUUGACAGUCGAACAGAGCUGAGCAAAGCAGAAAGGUAAGUGUGUUUCAUUUUAGUAUGAACACUUGUAUUUUGUUUUUAUAUGGUAUGUUUUGUGCAUGCUAUGUUUCAGGUGUACUUGUAGUAAGCGACGAAGACGAUUCAAGAAGAGGAACAUUGCUGAGAAAGUGAAUGGGACUUGCAAACAGGGUAAGUGUUACAAUUGUUUGUUUGAUUUUUACCAUGCAUACUUUGCUUUGCUCUGUUUCAGAUUUCACAUGCAGAAAUGGUCUCAUAGCAGUGCCAACAGUGAAUAAGGAUUUCAGCUGCUGUGAAACAACUCAACAGAAAGUAGGUAAGCAUUGAAUGAAUGCACUUGAGUUGUACAAUUUGAUGUGAUGCUUUUUUCUGUUUCAGAUUCAAGUUUCUGGUGUAGACAGAAAAAUGUGUUUGAAGAAGGAAUUCUACUACUGUGAUUCAACUCUACAGAAGCAAGGUAAGUAGAAACAAAAUUUUGGUUUAAUUUAACUCAUGUGUUUUGCACUGCAUGCUAUUUUUCAGGUCUCUCAUGCAGUGAUGCAAAAGAAGAAGAUUUCAAGAAAGAAUCACUGCUGCAACUCAGGCCUAUAACAAGGUAAGUGUUUACUAUAUUGUAUACAAAAUGUUUCUCUGUUUUACUCUGUUUGAAGGUUUCAAUUGCAGAGAUGUUGCAGAGAUGUUUUGACAGCUUGUGACAGAAAAGAAAUUCAGCAGCUGUGUCUCGACUCUAGCCACGAGGUAAGUCAAAACAAAUAUACUGGUUUGUAUGUAAUGUUGUUAUGCCAUUCUAUGUUUCAGACUUACAUUGCUGUGACUGUUCCACAGUGGGUCAAAAAAGAGACGAAUACAGGUUUCAAGAAGAAAAUUGGCUGUUGAAAACCUGCACAAAAUAUGAGGUAAGUAAACUAUUCUUUUGGUUUGUUUUGUGCUUUGUUAUGCUUAACUAUUUUUCAGAUUGGAAUGGUGGGUCGUUACAGAGCAGGCUUUUGGACUACUGAGAAGUUGAGAAACAGAGAAUGAUUCAAGAUCAGCUAGGUAAGUCUUGAUUAUUAUGCAUUGCUAAAUGUUUUUUUCAUUUCAGUAUGGCUGUGGUAAGUACAAUUGCCUUCUUUAAUUUUUAUAUUUAACUGUUUUGAUGACUUGUAUACUGCUAUGCAAUGCUUAAUGUUUUUUACAUUUCAGUGUGGCUGUGGUAAGUACACUAACUUUCUUUAAUUUUCAUAUUGAACUGUUUUGAUGACCUGUAUUCUGCAUUGUAAAAUGUGUUUCUUUUUCAUUUCAGUAUGGCUGUGGUAAGUACACAAACUUUCUUUAAUUUUCAUAUUGAACUGUUUUGAUGACUUGUAUUCUGCUAAACAAAAUGUGCUUUUUUCAAUUUCAGGUCAGCAAUGGUAAGUAGAUUGUGUUUCUUUAUGUAUAAUUGUGUAUACAAAGUUUUUUUUUCAUCAUAGCAUGUCUUUUAUAUUUAUGCUUUGUGUAAGUAAAAUGUUCAUAAAUCAUUCUUAUCUUCAAACUAAAAAUGUAUUGUGCUAUGCAAAAUGUCUGUAUGUUUUCAGUUGCCAGAGGUGAGUACCAUUACAGUUGAAAAGUUAGUUUUGUUUAGUUAAAGUUUUGGUUCACAGUUUUGUUUGUUAUUUGGCAAAAUUUACAUGUAUGCAUUGAGUCUUGAUUUCAGCUCGAUUGUGGACUGAAGAAGAUUGCCAGCAGAGGGAUUGGAUACAAAAUACAAAGUAAGUACUGAGUUUCUUACUAAAAGUUUUGAGUUGUAUUCAUUGUGUGUAAAUAUGCUAUGAUUGCUAUGAACAUGACUUUUGUAUUUCAGCGAAGACAACAUAGGUAAGUAAAAUUGUUAUCUGUUUCAUGUUUACUGUUACAGUUCAAUAUUGUGUUUAUAAAUUUUAAGUUGUACAAACACAUUCAAAAGUUUCUAAUCAUGCUUUCGAUUUCAUUUCAGCUUUACUGCUAGACGAGUGUUCUCUACUACUUGACGAGUCAGCUUUACUACCAGGCGAGCAGUGACAACAAGGCGCCUUUGUGGAAACAACACAACAAAAAACUCUACUGCUAGACGAGCAGUGACAGAAAGGCGCCUGAACAUGCAACACAAUACAAAAAAUGCCAAUAUCCAAACCUUGAUGUGGACACCGAGUAGUCAAUACAUACGUGUGGCGUAUAGCUGCGACAAAACCGUGGGUCCAUCGCACCGAUAACUUGAACAUUGGCCCGUGUAUGGACAUCAGUGCAACUUUGUGAAUCCAUGUAUCUUUGUGAAUCCAUGUAACAUUGCGAAUGUGUGUCGAUCGAAAAAUGUGUACAUUCUGAACUGAAACGAACUCGGUGUUGCAAGUGGCAAGUGUUGACAGUGUGUAUGUUUAUGUUUAUGUUUUUACAUGAAAACUAAAGGAGAUUGUUCUCCUACCUUUUUUUUCCUUGUUUUAUUGCGCUGGCCAGCAAUAUUGAUGUAUUGAUGUAUGUGUUUGUGUUUAAACUAUGCAAUACCAAAAUCAAACAAAAAAUAAACAUUAACAGUCAUUAACUGUG